rnacentral:rRNA from 1 species
UACGAAGGGGGCUAGCGUUGCUCGGAAUUACUGGGCGUAAAGCGCACGUAGGCGGCUCUUUAAGUCGGGGGUGAAAUCCUGGAGCUCAACUCCAGAACUGCCUUCGAUACUGUAGAGCUUGAGUUCGGGAGAGGUGAGUGGAACUGCGAGUGUAGAGGUGAAAUUCGUAGAUAUUCGCAAGAACACCCGUGGCGAAGGCGGCUCACUGGCCCGAUACUGACGCUGAGGUGCGAAAGCGUGGGGAGCAAACAGG